rnacentral:rRNA from 1 species
UGAGUACGAGAUGCUACGGCAUCGAAGCAGUCUAUGUCAUACUUCCAAGAAAAGCUUGCACUGUCAUAAACAAAGAAUGCCUGUACCAUAACCGACACAGGUGGGUAGGUAGAGUAUACUAAGGGGCGCGAGAUAACUCUCUCUAAGGAACUCGGCAAAAUGACUCCGUAACUUCGGGAGAAGGAGUGCCUUAUUUCUAAGGUUGCAAUAACAAGAUCCAAGCAACUGUUUACCAAAAACACAGGUCUCCGCUAAGUCGUAAGACGAUGUAUGGGGGCUGACGCCUGCCCAGUGCCAGAAGGUUAAAGAAGUUGGUUAGCAUUAGCGAAGCUGAUAACUGAAGCCCUGGUGAACGGCGGCCGUAACGAUAACGGUCCUAAGGUAGCGAAAUUCCUUGUCGGGUAAGUUCCGACCCGCACGAAAGGCGUAAUGAUUUGGAUACUGUCUCGGAGAGGGGCUCGGUGAAAUAGACUUGUCUGUGAAGAUGCGGACUACCUGCACCUGGACAGAAAGACCCUAUGAAACUUUACUGUAACUUGAGAUUGAAAUUGGACUUUAUUUGCGCAGUAUAGGUGGGAGGCGUUGAGAAUAAUCUUGCGGGAUUGUUGGAGCCAUCAGUGAGAUACCACUCUUGUAAUGUUAGAUUUCUAACUUUGUAUCAUUAUCUGGUCAAAGAACGGUUUCAGGCGGGCAGUUUGACUGGGGCGGUCGCCUCCCAAAGGGUAACGGAGGCGCACAAAGGUUUCCUCUGAACGGGUAGAAAUCGUAUCUAGAGUGUAAAGGCAUAAGGAAGCUUGACUGUGAGACCUACAAGUCGAGCAGGGACGAAAGUCGGUCUUAGUGAUCUGACGGUGCUGAGUGGAAAGGCCGUCACUCAACGGAUAAAAGUUACUCUAGGAUAAUAGGCUGAUCUCCCCCAAGAGUUCACAUCGACGGGGAGGUUUGGCACCUCGAUGUCGGCUCAUCGCAUCCUGGGGCGGUAGUCCGUCCCAAGGGUUGGGCUGUUCGCCCAUGAAAGCGGUACGCGAGCUGGGUUCAGAACGUCGUGAGACAGUUCGGUCCAUAUCCGGUGUAGGCGUUAGAAUAUUGAGAGGAGCCUUCUCUAGUACGAGAGGACCGAGAAGGACAUACCUCUGGUGUACCAGUUAUCGUGCCAACGGUAAACGCUGGGUAGCUAUGUAUGGAGUGGAUAACCGCUGAGAGCAUCUAAGUGGGAAGCCCACCUCAAGAUAAG